rnacentral:misc_RNA from 1 species
GCCCUGUCCUCUUCUACCCAGUCUAGCUAGUGCAUUUUCAUCUGCCAAUAGACGCGUUUCAAGAGAAUCAUCCUCCUCAUCAAUAGUGUAAUUUUUAUUGGACCUCCCCUUUCUGCUUUCGGUCGGUAGGGUAGGCUUUCAAUGAAGACAUAUGUAACCUCUCAGCAGAUUCUAGCAACUGUCCAUUCUUGACAAAUUCGUGACUUUUUUUCCUGUCAUCAUCAUCUGUAACUUUACCCAAGCCAAAUGGAGAGCUGUUUUCCAAAACUUUACUUCCAGAGAUAUGCAAUGGACUGCUGUCUCGCAUCUUACCUUUCUGUUUUGCUUUUGACGAG